GUACUUAUAUUUAUUCCCCUACAAAAACCAUAGCCUAAAAAUCAUAAUAAUCGAGAAAUCAAAGUCCUUCCCGUGUUUGACCUCAAAAUCGAUAGUUACAUCAUCUUGUAAAAAGAAUUUUUUUUGAUAUAUAAAUAAAUGAGCAUUGAGGUUUCUCUGAUUUUCUGUUUCAUUUUCCGACUCGAGAUUUCGAUUUUCUCGAGAAAGUUGCAGGCUUUUCUCGAUCGGAAAUGAAACGAAAGAACGAUUGUUAGUGAAAAUUAGGUUAAUUUUUUUGACUGAGAAAAACAGAGAGAUGAGAGGUGCGAGCAACAACACUCUGGAUACUAUAAGCGCUGCUGCGACUGCGAUCGCAUCAGCUGAGAAUCGUGUGCCUCAAGCUCCAAUUCAGCAAGAGGACUGGCCCUUACUCAGAUUGAGAAAGAUGAGCUUGAGGAUUACUUUGUCAAGAAAAAGAAGAUCAGUUUUUGAGUUGAUCAUG